GAUGAACGCUGGCGGCGUGCUUAACACAUGCAAGUCGAACGAAGCACUUUAUUUGAUUUCCUUCGGGACUGAUUAUUUUGUGACUGAGUGGCGGACGGGUGAGUAACGCGUGGGUAACCUGUCUUGUACAGGGGGAUAACAGUUGGAAACGGCUGCUAAUACCGCAUAAGCGCACGGCAUCGCAUGAUGCAGUGUGAAAAACUCCGGUGGUAUAAGAUGGACCCGCGUUGGAUUAGCUAGUUGGUGAGGUAACGGCCCACCAAGGCGACGAUCCAUAGCCGAGCUGAGAGGGUGACCGGCCACAUUGGGACUGAGACACGGCCCAAACUCCUACGGGAGGCAGCAGUGGGGAAUAUUGCACAAUGGGCGAAAGCCUGAUGCAGCGACGCCGCGUGAGCGAAGAAGUAUUUCGGUAUGUAAAGCUCUAUCAGCAGGGAAGAUAAUGACGGUACCUGACUAAGAAGCACCGGCUAAAUACGUG
rnacentral:rRNA from 1 species